UACGUAGGGGCCGAGCGUUGUCCGGAGUUAUUGGGCGUAAAGCGCGCGCAGGCGGCUUCGCGCGCCGGCCGUGAAAGCCCCCGGCUUAACCGGGGAGAGUCGGUGGGGACGGCGGAGCUUGAGGGCGGGAGAGGUCGGUGGAAUUCCCGGUGUAGUGGUGAAAUGCGUAGAGAUCGGGAGGAACACCUGUGGCGAAGGCGGCCGACUGGGCCGACCCUGACGCUGAGGCGCGAAGGCGUGGGGAGCGAACGGG
rnacentral:rRNA from 1 species